UUACUCUGGUUUCUCUUCAUCCACGUAUAAAUCUUUCGCCUUUUACUAAAGAUUUCCGUGGAGAGGAACAAUACAAUGAGUCUAUAGACUAAUUUUUCUAGCCCUCCGAAAGGAGGGU
rfam:Lingula anatina scaffold277, whole genome shotgun sequence.